ensembl:lncRNA
GUAACGGGUUUUUUUGAAUGGCUUUUUGGUUAAAUGCCUGAAGUAAGGUCUGGGGUUAACACAAGCUCUAGAUAUGUUCACGUUUUAUACAAUGGCGUAAAAUACAUCAGUAAGACCCCAGUCGGGAUUUUUUGAAAAGCUUUUAUGUGUCUUGAAAAAGCUGAUUGCUAACAAGUGGCUAAAUGGUACUACAGAGGUUGUCGAGGACAUUAAACGUCAUCACGCCGAACAGGAAAUCUCGUCUGCUACAGCCUCGUUGUGUUUAUACUAUUCCAACUCAAACUUUCCAACUUUUGGAUUUAUCCAUUUAUAGCAUUUUUUUAUUGCAUUGUGUUGUUUUUUUUUUUUAAAUUAGUUUUGUUUCAGGUUUGUUUCAGUCAUGGCUCCUAUUUACAAGUUUUAAGUGAAAACAUACCUUUUUUUUUAAAAGUCAUUACAUUCACUCAUAUUUUUAUUUGUAACCAUUGCUUUCAACGUAUUUGUUAUAGUAGUGACUAUAGCAGUAGUAGCAUUACAAUCCACGGUUUUGUUCACCCAUUUUUUCAUUGAUCUCUCUGCAAAUAUACACAUGUUCUAAUGCUGGAUGCCUUGCUUUUGAGUGCUUUAUACUCCAGGUGGUGGACAGAGACAUGGAGUUAAAGUGGGAGUUGCUUUAAUUACGGGUCGUGGGGAACCUGGACGGGGUGCCAAUCCAUCGCAGGGCACAAUCACAUACACAUUCACACACCCAUUCAUACAUUAUGCAUGCCUUUGGACUGGAGGAGGAAACCGGAGUACCUGGAGGAAACCUCCGCAGCACGGGGAGAACACGCAAACUCCACACACACAGGGCAGCGGCGGGAAUCAAACCCUCAACUCUGGAGGGUAUAUAAACAUUGUGGACAUUGUGAAUGCAGUGUCUGAGGGAGCUAAGCUGCUGUCUCGCUGUUUGGCUCAUAAAUAAAGAAGUUCAACAAGCUCUGUUGUACGCUGAAGUUUGUAUCCACGC